UACAGAGGGUGCGAGCGUUGUCCGGAAUCACUGGGCGUAAAGGGCGCGUAGGUGGCGCUGCAAGUCGGUGGUGAAAGCUCGCCGCUUAACGGCGAGUCGGCCAUCGAAACUGCAGGGCUCGAGCACUGUAGGGGCUAAUGGAAUUCCGGGUGUAGCGGUGGAAUGCGUAGAGAUCCGGAAGAACACCAGUGGCGAAGGCGGUUAGCUGGGCAGUUGCUGACACUGAUGCGCGACAGCGUGGG
rnacentral:rRNA from 1 species